rnacentral:rRNA from 1 species
CCUACGGGAGGCAGCAGUGGGGAAUUUUGGACAAUGGGCGCAAGCCUGAUCCAGCAAUGCCGCGUGAGUGAAGAAGGCCUUCGGGUUGUAAAGCUCUUUUGUCAGGGAAGAAACGGUUGGGGCUAAUAUCCUCGGCUAAUGACGGUACCUGAAGAAUAAGCACCGGCUAACUACGUGCCAGCAGCCGCGGUAAUACGUAGGGUGCAAGCGUUAAUCGGAAUUACUGGGCGUAAAGCGUGCGCAGGCGGUUUUGUAAGUCUGUCGUGAAAGCCCCGGGCUUAACCUGGGAAUUGCGAUGGAGACUGCAAGGCUUGAAUCUGGCAGAGGGGGGUAGAAUUCCACGUGUAGCAGUGAAAUGCGUAGAGAUGUGGAGGAACACCGAUGGCGAAGGCAGCCCCCUGGGUCAAGAUUGACGCUCAUGCACGAAAGCGUGGGAAGCAAACAGGAUUAGAUACCCUGGUAGUCCACGCCCUAAACGAUGUCUACUAGUUGUCGGGUCUUAAUUGACUUGGUAACGCAGCUAACGCGUGAAGUAGACCGCCUGGGGAUACGGUCGCAAGAUUAAAACUCAAAANAGAAGUUAGUACGGCGUGAGACGUAGACCGACGGACGACGACGAGGGAGGAGG